rnacentral:rRNA from 1 species
AUUGAACGCUGGCGGCAGGCUUAACACAUGCAAGUCGAGCGAGCGGCGGACGGGUGAGUAAUGUCUGGGAAACUGCCUGAUGGAGGGGGAUAACUACUGGAAACGGUAGCUAAUACCGCAUACCAUCAGAUGUGCCCAGAUGGGAUUAGCGAGGAGGUGGGGUAAUGGCGCACCUAGGCGACGAUCCCUAGCUGGUCUGAGAGGAUGACCAGCCACAGUGGAACUGGGACACGGUCCAGAAUACUACGGGAGGCAGCAGUUGGGAAGAUUGCACAAUGAGCGCAAGCCUGAUGCAGCCAUGCCGCGUGUGUGAAGAAGGCCUUCGGGUUGUAAAGCACUUUCAGCGAGGAGGAGUUACUCGCAGAAGAAGCCACGGCUAACUACGUGCCAGCAGCCGCGGUAAUUC